GCCAGCAGCUAGCUCUCCGCAAAUCUCACAUGCUUGCCCACUGAAGCUAAGCAGGGCAGUACCUGGUCAGUACCUGGAUGGGACACCACAUAGGAAUGCUAGGUUGCUGCUGGAA
ensembl:rRNA 5S_rRNA 5S ribosomal RNA